CGGGACACGUGGUAUCCUGUCUGAAUAUGGGGGGACCAUCCUCCAAGGCUAAAUACUCCUGACUGACCGAUAGUGAACCAGUACCGUGAGGGAAAGGCGAAAAGAACCCCGGCGAGGGGAGUGAAAAAGAACCUGAAACCGUGUACGUACAAGCAGUGGGAGCCUCUUUAUGGGGUGACUGCGUACCUUUUGUAUAAUGGGUCAGCGACUUAUAUUCUGUAGCAAGGUUAACCGAAUAGGGGAGCCGAAGGGAAACCGAGUCUUAACUGGGCGUUAAGUUGCAGGGUAUAGACCCGAAACCCGGUGAUCUAGCCAUGGGCAGGUUGAAGGUUGGGUAACACUAACUGGAGGACCGAACCGACUAAUGUUGAAAAAUUAGCGGAUGACUUGUGGCUGGGGGUGAAAGGCCAAUCAAACCGGGAGAUAGCUGGUUCUCCCCGAAAGCUAUUUAGGUAGCGCCUCGUGAAUUCAUCUCCGGGGGUAGAGCACUGUUUCGGCAAGGGGGUCAUCCCGACUUACCAACCCGAUGCAAACUGCGAAUACCGGAGAAUGUUAUCACGGGAGACACACGGCGGGUGCUAACGUCCGUCGUGAAGAGGGAAACAACCCAGACCGCCAGCUAAGGUCCCAAAGUCAUGGUUAAGUGGGAAACGAUGUGGGAAGGCCCAGACAGCCAGGAUGUUGGCUUAGAAGCAGCCAUCAUUUAAAGAAAGCGUAAUAGCUCACUGGUCGAGUCGGCCUGCGCGGAAGAUGUAACGGGGCUAAACCAUGCACCGAAGCUGCGGCAGCGACGCUUAUGCGUUGUUGGGUAGGGGAGCGUUCUGUAAGCCUGCGAAGGUGUACUGUGAGGUAUGCUGGAGGUAUCAGAAGUGCGAAUGCUGACAUAAGUAACGAUAAAGCGGGUGAAAAGCCCGCUCGCCGGAAGACCAAGGGUUCCUGUCCAACGUUAAUCGGGGCAGGGUGA
rnacentral:rRNA from 1 species